AGGAAGCAGGUAUGUUUAAUAUUGUAUUUACUGUAUGUUUCAAUGAUAGGCUUUUGUACAUAGUCUCAAGCCAAUUUUCACCAAAAAUUGCUAGGCUGAUAGUCCUAAAGGUCCAGAAGGUUCUUCAGGUAGUAGGAAUGGCUCUAAUAAGCAUCCAGCCCCUCAUCCUGAUAGUGAAGAUGAUAAAAGUGACGAUGAAGGAGAGCUAGUCGUUGAUGAGGAUCCUUCUUCUCCUUCAAACACUCCAGCAGCUGCAAUGGUAAUGGC